ACUGCAGAUAUAUAGGGCAUGUUUGGUUUUCUUCUUAGAUGAGCCAAGUUGUAUCUUUACCGUCAGGUUCCCAGUACAUGCACAUGGAUGGUGUUUGGUUAUGAAACUCAUGGAUCGGAGCCUGGAAAGAUCGAGUUUGUUUGUUUCCGUUUGUUUGUCUCAUACGGCAUGCAAGCACACGCGUCGAUUCGCACUGAACAAGCACACACAGCCCACGGAAACCGCAACGGCUUACGUACGGCAGCUGAACGUGCAUGCCGCCACGUCACGCAAGCUACACAGCCAUGCACCACAAGUCAGGCUGACGCGCGGCGGCGGCGUGCUAUCUUGCUCGGGUGACCGCCGCCGCCGUCGACGCCCGCCGCCGCCGGUACUCCUCUCGGCUGGACGACGGCUCCGCCACGUCGGCCGCGAAGCGCACCUUCUUGUUCUUCUUCGUGCGGCGCCGGCCCUGGUCCGCGGCUCCGUCGCCUUCGCCGAGUAUCAUGACCCUGAGGUCCGCCUCCAGGCGGCGGUGGAGGCGGUAGGAGACGAGGAUGACGCUCGUCGACACCACGGCGACCGCCAGCAGCCCCAGGCAGCUCCCCGCGCCGCUGCUGCUCCGCCGCUCCAUCGCGAUCAGCGAGGCGGGCCGCCGCCGACCUUCCGCUAGGCAGCUGGCUUCCACCGGACCACAGCCGCACAGCUUCAACGACGAUAUACGGGUAUAGAUAGAUCGAUGGAACGAACGACCGUCCGGCUGGCGAUCUAUCUUGGCUACCUCCUACUCCUGGCAUGCUGCGAGACAAACGAGAAGGGAAAAAAGAGCGUGGCGAUGGCGACUCCGGCUCCGAUCGAGGUAGUCGUGACAUGCAUGCAUGCAUGCUGCACCAGCAGCUUUUGUUUUAUUUUGGUUUACGAG
rnacentral:misc_RNA from 1 species